rnacentral:rRNA from 1 species
UACAGAGGUGCCAAGCGUUAGGCGGAAUCACUGGGCUUAAAGCGCGUGUAGGUGGGUCGUUAAGUGUCCGCGUGAAAUCCCACGGCUCAACCGUGGAACUGCCGGGCAUACUGGCGAUCUUGAGGCAUUCAGGGGCGAGCGGAACAAGUGGUGGAGCGGUGAAAUGCGUAGAUAUCAUCAGGAACACCGGAGGCGAAGGCGGCUCACUGGGGCUUUUCUGACGCUGAGGAACUAAAGCCAGGGGAGCGAACGGG